ACGUCGAUAAGGCAACAUUAGAUAACGCCAAAUCCUUUUCGAUUCGUAUAGAAAUAUUUUUUGAUGUUUUUACCUCAUAUAUUUACGUCAUUUCAACUCAUAUUGCAUGAGUAUUGAUUUGUUCCUUUUUGGAAAACAGAAAAAGUACAGAAAAGAAAGGCUCUCGAGGUGUUCCGGUAUAAACAAACGACACUCGCGUUAUGGAGUGAAAAUCUAUAAAAAUCUUUCAUGAAGUCACUGACCGAGAGAAGAUGGCAGCUAACCAGAAGCAGAAGCACAGUCGGCCGGGGUUCAGGGCCCCAGGGAGAGAAACCGGCGUACAAUGCGGGCACUAAGAGCUUUUUUUUUUAGAUAUUUUAUUUAUCUUAUUAUUGUUAUUUCUAUAAACAGCAUUAUACUUGCACCUACAGCCAAUAGUAAUUAAUUGUCACUGGAUCGUAAUAAUCAAUGGAAAUACAAUGAGACCGAUUCGAAGGUGCCAUUUCUCAAAAUUAACUCACAUAAUUCCUAGUAAUAGAGUGUCUAUAUUUGUGUGUGUAUUUGAUUAGCUUAAUGUUCAGGUGGACAUGAAAAAAUACUUACAGUCCGUGUCUCUUAUUAUAAUUGUAUAUUACUUCAUAUUUAAAUAACAUCGAGGCUCAUUAGCCUUCUGUAGUAUAAACUGUAAUACAAUUUUCUCCUGCGAACGCUCAAGCUGUGGAAUGAGCUCCCCGCCGAGGUUUUCCCUAGAGACUACAGUAUGGGGUUCUUCAAAAACGGUAUAUUGAAGUUUCUUCAGGGUCAGCAACGCGCAUGUGACACCCAUAGAGUUGCAGGCAUCCAUAGGUUACAGGCACCGUUUACUAGCAGACGUAUUUAUUUAUUUAUUUGUUAUAAGUUACAAUAACAGUUUGCAAACAGAAAUGAACCAUUAAAAAGAAAACAAUAUAUAAAUUUAUUAAUACGCAGUUUGCAACCUUACAUUGUAAACAUCAUUUAACAAUAAGUUAGAAGUAAACGUUAUAACAUUUUUAUAGAUGUACAUUACAUUACUGAUUACAGAUAUGAUCCAAACUUAUUCCAUCUCAAAACCAUAAAACGACCUCUUAAAUCGUAUGCUUUGUAUGUAUGCUUGUUUACCACCUUUAUGUUAUAAAAUACUGCAUUAUAAAUGCAUUUCCCUAAACAAAAACAAACUUAACUAAUUUAAUUUACUAAACACUGAGUUUUCCAUUUGUCUGUAAUAGAAAUAAUGCCUUUCAAAGAGCUUAUUCCUCCCGGUCUAACCUCUAAGUAAUUGUUUAAAUCAAACCUUUGACCUUGGAGAACUAACAAACAAAUGAAAUUUAAUUCCUUUGUCAUUUCAUAAUUAAAAUAAAGAUGAAUAAAGUCUAGUCAACUGAUGUUUUACAUUUCUUUAAUGAUAAUACUUAAAAAGACACGAUAUCACAUUGUCAAAUAUAUAUGGGUAUUAUAAAGACAUAGAAAUAAAGAUUUAUAGAUAUUC